UACGGAAGGCAGCAGUGGGGAAUAUUGCACAAUGGGCGCAAGCCUGAUGCAGCCAUGCCGCGUGUAUGAAGAAGGCCUUCGGGUUGUAAAGUACUUUCAGUCGUGAGGAAGGUGUUAAGGUUAAUAACCUUAGCAAUUGACGUUAGCGACAGAAGAAGCACCGGCUAACUCCGUGCCAGCAGCCGCGGUAAUACGGAGGGUGCGAGCGUUAAUCGGAAUUACUGGGCGUAAAGGGCACGCAGGCGGUUAAUUAAGUUGGAUGUGAAAUCCCCGGGCUUAACCUGGGAAUGGCAUUCAAGACUGGUUAGCUAGAGUCUUGUAGAGGGGGUAGAAUUCCAUGUGUAGCGGUGAAAUGCGUAGAGAUGUGGAGGAAUACCGGUGGCGAGGGCGGCCCCUGGACAAAGACUGACGCUCAUGUGCGAAAGCGUGGGGAGCAAAC
rnacentral:rRNA from 1 species